UGCAGCUAUGGCGGAACCGGUAGACGCGCUAGAUUCAGGUUCUAGUGAGCUUUUGCUCAUGGAAGUUCAAGUCUUCUUAGCUGCAAC
rnacentral:tRNA from 1 species